rnacentral:lncRNA from 1 species
CUGCUGCCUGCCUCUGCCACGUGCACCUGCCACGUGCACAUGCCGCCUGCACCUGCCGCCUGCACCUGCCGCCUGCACCUGCCGCAGCACACUCGCUGCAGGCGGCCCCUUCAGGGCAGGAGUGGAACCGGUGCCCCAACCCCUCCACCGCCNUGCACCUGCCGCAGCACACUCGCUGCGGGCGGCCCCUUGAGGGCAGGAGUGGAACCGGUGCCCCAACCCCUCCACUGCCCCGCCCCGGGGCUCUAAGCCUGCGGGUGGGAAACCGCUGAGCCGCGGGCGCGGGCACGGGGGCCGCAGGGGAUGGGAGCUGCGGCGGCAAAGGGACAAGGGUCCAGGGAAGAGCCCUCCCCUGUGAGCAGCACCGCGGCAGCUGCCUCGGGACUAAGUCCACGCUCCUUCAGAAGGUCGCGCGCCGUGACCUUAGAGACGCGGCCCUGUGCCCCGCUGGCUGCCCGGCACCUGCGGAGGGGGAUGCGCUGGCGUCGCGCCCACGGGGACGGGGUGGGGCUGGAAGCGAGGAAGUGGGGCCACAGGCGGCACGCGGUCCGGGGCCCUGAGCCCGGGGACCCCGGCAGGUGCUGCCUCUCCCAGGUGAACUCUGUGAACUAGUUCCUGCAAGCUAAAUUGUUAAAUUGCUGAGCGGUUGGGGAGUUUGCAGCAGGGAUAAAAGAAUAGAGACAACAAAAUGACAUUCACUCAAGACAGCCAGUAGAGCCUGAAGGUUGAUUUUUUUUGGAUAUAACCAUGGCAAGGGCCUUGUAUUUAGAAAAGCCAAAAAGAAGAUUAAAAUAAGCCUAUCUAUUUGCUUGCAUGUCUUUUCUCUUGCUAGAGUGUUGUGUGUGUUGUAAUGUAAAUACUACAAUAGGAAACACCAUAUAGU